AUUGAACGCUGGCGGCAGGCCUAACACAUGCAAGUCGAGCGGAGCGGCGGACGGGCGAGUAAUUCAUUGGUAUCUGCCUGGUAGUGGGGGAUAACGUCCGAAAACGGGCGCUAAUACCGCAUACUUUCAGGUGAGCCUCGGUCGGAUUAGCUAGUUGGUGGGGUAGAGGCCUACGAAGGCGACGAUCCGUAACUGGUCUGAGAGGAUGAUCAGUCACACUGGAACUGAGACACGGUCCAGACUCCUACGGGAGGCAGCAGUGGGGAAUAUUGGACAAUGGGCGAAAGCCUGAUCCAGCCAGGCCGCGUGUGUGAAGAAGGUCUUCGGAUUGUAAAGCACUUUAAGUUGGGAGGCGUUACCAACAGAAUAAGCACCGGCUAACUUCGUGCCAGCAGCCGCGGUAAUAC
rnacentral:rRNA from 1 species